UAGUUACUAGAUGAAACGCGUUGGGUUGUUAUACUUGAUGUUAUCUCUGAAUAUCAUAUGAGGAAGAAUAAAGAUACUGCACUAAGUUGCCGAUAUUCCUCUACCAACUUCAAUGGUAAAGCGUUGAGAUGUCACAGUUGUGUGGCGUCCAGUGAGGAGGAGUGCUACAAGCAGGGGACCCAUGUCUGUCCACAGUACGCAGAGGUCUGCUCCACCAUCACUGCACCAAACAGCAUCAUCAAGUCCUGCUCCUACAAGUCAUUUUGUGACCAUGCCCGGCAGAGUGGAAGCAGCGCUACUGUCGAAUGCUGUUUCUCAGACGAUUGCAAUGGACCACCCAAAGAGAACAAUGCGGGCCUGAAAAACGCUGCAAGCUGCCCCGCACUGCCCCCUAUCCUGAUCUCUGCGGCACUGCUAGUCCUCAGGCCUCUGUGAGUCAGUGCGUCGACUGGAAUCAUAUUAUAUACACCUGCUUCAUAAGGAAAGGCCAGCACUGAUACACACUAAGCAUGGAUGUCGGCCCAGUGCAACACACGUGUGGACGAACUCUGAAGAUGGGUCUAUAAUCCAAUUUACCAUAUGUACUACAUUGUAUAAAGCGGCUGAAUACCCCGUAUACAGUAUUAAUAUUGAACAUGCAAACUGUAUAAUGAUACAUAAUUGUUCUUUACCAUAAUAAAUUGCAAUGUAUAAUGUUAUUGAGCAUCUCAUACACUUAAAAUUAACCUGUUACAUUGUAUAAUGAUACUGAGUAUCUCUAUACCCUUAAACAGAGCACACUGCAUGAUGCUGAGUAGCGCUAUACACUCCUUAUCAUCAAGCUGCACUGUAUAAUGAUGCUGAGUAUCUUUAUACACUGAUAAUGGUCACACUGUACUGCGCCUCCUGCAGAUCACAUAGCCACGCCCACAUUGGCUAGUAUCUAUCGGAAGAGACUUCCUCCUGAGUGAACAUGUCUCCCACCCUCACGUCCCUGCCAUCCUGUUUGUGCAGCAGCUGCUGAGGGGCCAAAUAUUCCCCUGUGCAGCUGCUGGCACCCUAGUAUCAGAAAAACUAUUUUUUUUUUUUUUUUUUUAAAGGGACUGUGGACAUGCUUCCCCAUAUCUGCACAUGUCCCUCCCCCCUCCAGCACCCGGGUCCAUGGCCGUUCUCGGCGGCCCUGCUGGUGACCCUAAACACGCUGCACUGUAUAAUUAUAUUCGUAUCACUAGACAAUAAUAACUAGUUAUGCUACAUUCUGAGUAUCUCUGUACUGCUUUAAUGAUUGUACCAGUGUAUAAUGUUGUUUCAAUAUAUAUAUAUAUA